ensembl:misc_RNA Metazoa_SRP Metazoan signal recognition particle RNA
GCUGGGCGUGGUGGCUGCGCCUGUAAUCCCAGCGACUUGGGAGGCUGAGGCAGGAGAAUCGCUUGAACCCGGGAGGUAGAGGUUGCAGUGAACCGAGAUCGUGUCACUGCAUUCCAGCCUGGGGAACAGAGCGAUACUCUGUCUCAA